rnacentral:rRNA from 1 species
AGUGAACGCUGGCGGUAGGCCUAACACAUGCAAGUCGAACGGCAGCACAGUAAGAGCUUGCUCUUACGGGUGGCGAGUGGCGGACGGGUGAGGAAUACAUCGGAAUCUACUUUUUCGUGGGGGAUAACGUAGGGAAACUUACGCUAAUACCGCAUCCGACCUACGGGUGAAAGCAGGGGACCUUCGGACCUUGCGCGAUUGAUUGAGCCGAUGUCGGAUUAGCUAGUUGGCGGGGUAAAGGCCCACCAAGGCGACGAUCCGUAGCUGGUCUGAGAGGAUGAUCAGCCACACUGGAACUGAGACACGGUCCAGACUCCUACGGGAGGCAGCAGUGGGGAAUAUUGGACAAUGGGCGCAAGCCUGAUCCAGCCAUACCGCGUGGGUGAAGAAGGCCUUCGGGUUGUAAAGCCCUUUUGUUGGGAAAGAAAAGCAGCAGGUUAAUACCCCGCUGUUCUGACGGUACCCAAAGAAUAAGCACCGGCUAACUUCGUG